CCUACGGGCGGCAGCAGUGAGGAAUAUUGGUCAAUGGACGAGAGUCUGAACCAGCCAAGUAGCGUGAAGGAUGACUGCCCUAUGGGUUGUAAACUUCUUUUAUAAAGGAAUAAAACGAGGCACGUGUGCCUUUUUGCAUGUACUUUAUGAAUAAGGAUCGGCUAACUCCGUGCCAGCAGCCGCGGUAAUACGGAGGAUCCGAGCGUUAUCCGGAUUUAUUGGGUUUAAAGGGAGCGUAGAUGGGUUGUUAAGUCAGUUGUGAAAGUUUGCGGCUCAACCGUAAAAUUGCAAUUGAUACUGGCAGUCUUGAGUACAGUUGAGGUAGGCGGAAUUCGUGGUGUAGCGGUGAAAUGCUUAGAUAUCACGAAGAACCCCGAUUGCGAAGGCAGCUUACUAAACUGUGACUGACAUUGAUGCUCGAAAGCGUGAGUAGCAAACAGGAUUAGAUACCCGAGUAGUC
rnacentral:rRNA from 1 species